CUCAGUCAGUUUGUAUCACUGUGGUGGACGUUCGGUGGAGGAACCAGACUGGAUGUUGGAAGUGACGCUCGUCCAACCCUGACGGUGCUGCCCCCCUCCAGAGAGGAGCUACAGCAGGGGAAGGCCACGCUCAUGUGCCUGGCCAACAAGGGCUUCCCCUCAGACUGGAGUCUGUCCUGGAAGGUGGACGGCAGCAGCAGCAGCAGCUGGGAGGAGGGCAGGAGCCCAGGGGUGCUGCAGGAGGACGGCCUCUACAGCUGGAGCAGCACCCUGAGGCUCCCUGCAGACCAGUGGGAGAAGGUGGGCUCUGUGACCUGUGAGGCCACCCAGGGCUCCCACGCUCCUCUCUCACAGACACUGAGGAGAGACCAGUGUUCCCAGUCCUGAGCUGACUCGCUGGUUUUCCUCUGCAGGUGUCUCUCUCUUUCUGUCACUCGUCUUUGUUUUGUCCAUCAUUUCAGUGUUUGACACAAUAAAGAUUCA